rnacentral:rRNA from 1 species
CCCUUAGAUGUUCUGGGCCGCACGCGCGCUACACUGAUACGCUCAACGAGCUCCUUGGCCGAAAGGUCCGGGUAAUCUUUGAAAUCGUAUCGUGAUGGGGAUAGAACAUUGCAAUUUUUGUUCUUCAACGAGGAAUGCCUAGUAAGCGCGAGUCAUCAUCUCGCGUUGAUUACGUCCCUGCCCUUUGUACACACCGCCCGUCGCUCCUACCGAUUGGAUGGUCCGGUGAAGCCUCGGGAUUGUGGUUCUUGCCGCUUUAUUGUGGCGUGACCGCGAGAACUUGUCUAAACCUUAUCAUCUAGAGGAAGGUGAAGUCGUAACA